CCAUAGCCCAAAUUCAGCACCUUACCACUGGAUAUGCCAAAAGAAAUGCCCAAAGGAACAUGGGACAAGUCUCUUCCAUGUGCUAGAUCUGGCUCUUCAGGAUCCCCAGGACUGGGGAAGUGAGCAGAAGGAAUUGUUGAGAUAGUGAUCUUCACAAUGUAUUAUGUAUUCCCUUCCCAGCUGGAGACAACAGGUCCCCUCCUCCAAAAACUACAGGCUCCUAUGUGGACACAGAGAUACCACACAGAGCACUCUGAUGAAAGAUGGGCUGCCCAGUCUCCCAGAUCAGCCUUCCUACAGAAGCCCAGCAGCAGUCGUGGCGCUCGUGUAUUAUUCAAGGGAGAACUCAUCCAUUCUCCCUCUACUCACCGGCUUGGCUAAGGCACGGAGACUCAGCUUCUGCCCAUCUGGAGAAAUGGCGGUACCUUGGAACUGGAUGAAGUCGUAGAGCCUACUGCAGCCUCUCUGGAGCAGCUUCCCGGGGCUAUUUCUACUGUUUAAGGCAAUUAUAGGCUGGCCCAAGUGCCCAAUAAACC
rnacentral:lncRNA from 1 species